UGCAAAUAUGCAAUUAUUGUGCACAUGUAGGUCAAAUCCGGCGAGAUUUUAAUAACAUGUCGUUUCUCCAGUUGUUGUGCGUUUUUGAAAAAUUGGUGUUUGGGAUGUGCUACAGACAAAUAAAUGAGUGACGCCGCACGUACCCAGAGCAAUGCUAUCCAGGACCUACUACUCAUCAAUUGUGGAAAAGACCUUAAGUGUCGCCCAUGACCUUACAGCCAUCCUAAAUCAGACCGACUUUUCACUGGAUCUGCAACAAUAUCUGUCAAAAACUCACCCUCAGUAUCACAAUGUCUUGGAAGAGAUACAGAGGGAUAUUUUGUCAGAUGGAGUUAGUGUUCUCGUGGGCGCUUACUUAUAAAGAUGUCACAUAAAACAGAGUCCCAUGAAUAAUAAAGGCAUAGGUUGUUUACUAGCUUCAAAUUGUGCCUUGCAUGGUUUCUAUCGCUGGUGUUAUAAUAAUUUACAAAUAUUAAGAGCCAUUCUCUGUAAGCAUCAAAACAUGUGGAAAACGACUGACUCGGAGUUUGACGAAAUUUUACACAAAGUAUACAUACUUCAGUCCUUUAAUCAUGACACUUUUAAAAAUGGGCUUUGACUCGUGUUUCCAUGGCAACAAGACAUCCGAUUUUGUGCAAAGACGUGAGCCUCAGUAAAUAUUGAAUUUUCCUUCAUAAAAAUGUGUAUGUUCAUUUUUCAUUUAAUUUCCAUUGUUAUUUAAUUAAGCUAUGUUGUGUGUAAUUUUUAAAAAUAAAAUUGAUUUGCUGCAACGCCAUAACAUGAAAUAUAUGCCCUCAAAUACCCCAAAAUCCCACUGAAAAUGAGAGAAAAUUGUUUCAAUUUUGUUCAGAAACACAACCACUGGUGGAUUGUUCUUACAUUGAUAAAUGUGUAUCGCAUCUACUAGAAUAACAUAUCAAAAAAUUACAGAUAUCAUAUUUCAUUUAAGAAAAUAAAUUGAUUUUAAAAUUUGCGCGAUUGCGAAAAUAUGCGAGUUUUUCCGAAAUCUAAAUCACCUCGACUCUUGACUGCAAUGCGUAUUCCAAGUAUAUUCAUGAUCAAGACAAGUUACGUCCCUUUUCUGAAGUGAAAGUAGAAAUUCGUGAGUGAUGAUUUGGAUAUUUUGAGCUGGUUUAAGUCUUUAAAUCAACUAGAAUUUUAUAUUUGAUACUUAAGUGUUUGUCGGAGACCGUUAUGCUUUCGAUGGGUAGCUUUCAAUGAUGAUGUAUCAGUGGAUUUACGCUGCGAUCGUGAUUACAACAGGGAGAACUUGUAUGCAAAAACUUCCGAGAAGAUUAGCCGAAAAAGAAACGCACAGGUGGCAUUGAAUGUGCUCAAUGCUGUUGUCAUAACAAUUCAGAUCCCUCUGACAGUCAGGGGUGCAGAUUCAAGAUUGGAUGUUCUAAAUGAAAUUAAGACAGAAAUAUUUUCUGUGAGGAAUGUACAAGACUCAGCAUCAUCAUUAUGACAAUACAGUUGUGGGUCAUUAAAAUUUAAGUGGAUCCAAUAUGGCUGGAACUUGUUUAAAGAUUGUUAAGCUGGAAUGUGUCCACUGAGAAAAUCACAGAGGCUGAAGCUGUUGGAGAAUAUUUGAAGACCUGUUUUUGAAUUUCUCAUCCCCUUUCAUGGAAGGAACUGUACUCAGAUGAACAAUGCAACUGUAUAUGUCCAUAGUGUACAGAAAAAUACUGAUAUAUAUGCAAAAACAAAUAUAGUGUGUUAGACAUUGUUUACAAACUCAUAUUUAGAUAAAGCUUGAACAUAUAAUUGAAGAUUGUUUAAUUUAUUUUCUGCACUGACUGAGAGCUUCACAGACUGCAAUUUAAAAUGUACAAUUUCAGUCUGAUAGAAAACAAUCAGGAUAAGUCUGACAGAAACAGGACAACUUUAAAUUCAUAUUCUUAAUAUA